UAACCCUUGAAAAUUAGCUCUUUUUGGGACCUACAAGUCUCAGAGCAAUGCAGAUGUUGUGUGACAAGCAGUCAAGAGCAAAUGUACUUCCUGUUUUUGUAUCCACCCCCUGAUAUUUAAAGAUCAACCUCUCAAGAAACUCAGCACAUUAAGACUUAUCUGAUGUGAUCAUGGAAAAACUCCAAAUGCUCAGUCAACAAAUCGGAAAAUAUCUACUGCUGUUUUUACUUACAGCAUCAGGUGUUAUCUGUCAAGAUUGGAUUCGACCAAGUGACCAGAGGACCAGUGUUUCCAGUACAGAAGGAGAAUCUGUAACACUGGAGUGUUCAUAUGACACAAGCAGCAGCUAUGUUAUCCUUUAUUGGUACAGGCAGUUUUCUAACACACAGCCAGAAUUUGUGCUAGCAAAGGGUGGAAGAUCACAGACAUAUGAGGAUAUACCAGACCCCGAACGAUUUGGAACAACUACGUCCCAGAAAUCCACUUCACUGACCAUUAAAAGUGUAACUCUGUCAGAUUCAGCUCUCUAUUACUGUGCUCUAAGAGUAACAGCCCAGUGUUACAAAGUGCCUGAGAGGCUUUACAAAAACUCACUUAGAAAACUUGCUUUGAACAGCGAGUUAUCAAAUGAAUAUCAAACCACAUUUGUGUCUUUAUAA